CUUUAGCCGUGAUCGCAGCGGCAUCCUUUGCUUUUUUUCUUUAAAAAAGCAAAGAUAUAGCGAAGAGCAGGACUCAUG
rnacentral:sRNA from 1 species